rnacentral:rRNA from 1 species
UACGGAGGGUGCAAGCGUUGCUCGGAAUUACUGGGCGUAAAGCGUACGCAGGCUGUUCACUAAGUCGGGUGUGAAAGCCCGGGGCUCAACCCCGGAAUUGCGCCCGAAACUGAUGAACUUGAGUGCGGGAGAGGGAAGCGGAAUUCCUGGUGUAGAGGUGAAAUUCGUAGAUAUCAGGAGGAACACCGGUGGCGAAAGCGGCUUCCUGGCCCGACACUGACGCUCAUGUACGAAAGCGUGGGGAGCAAACAGG